GACGAACGCUGGCGGCGUGCCUAAUACAUGCAAGUUGAGCGCUGAAGGUUGGUACUUGUACCAACUGGAUGAGCAGCGAACGGGUGAGUAACGCGUGGGGAAUCUGCCUUUGAGCGGGGGACAACAUUUGGAAACGAAUGCUAAUACCGCAUAAAAACUUUAAACACAAGUUUUAAGUUUGAAAGAUGCAAUUGCAUCACUCAAAGAUGAUCCCGCGUUGUAUUAGCUAGUUGGUGAGGUAAAGGCUCACCAAGGCGAUGAUACAUAGCCGACCUGAGAGGGUGAUCCGCCACAUUGGGACUGGGACACGGCCCCAACUCCUACGGGAGGCAGCAGUAGGGGAUCUUCGGCAAUGGACGAAAGUCUGACCGAGCAACGCCGCGUGAGUGAAGAAGGUUUUCGGAUCGUAAAACUCUGUUGGUAGAGAAGAACGUUGGUGAGAGUGGAAAGCUCAUCAAGUGACGGUAACUACCCAGAAAGGGUCGGCUAACUACGUG
rnacentral:rRNA from 1 species